GGUAACUCCAAUCUACUGUCUGGUGUGCCUCUGUGUUGUUAUGCUCCCAAAGUUCCCAGCGGGAUGUUUGGGCAACAACUGACACUUUAUAGCAAAAACUUUCUUCCUGAGAUGGAGAGGAUCCAGCAGCUUGUGAGCUUUCACUUCAAUCUUUGUUCAGAUGCGAUUUUUGCAUUCCCGUGUCAACACAGAUGGAUGAGCCAUUGCACCAAGGCUGUCACUGUGAGUCAGGAGGGACGCUUAAAUUAUCACUUCCAAGGCUGCGCUCUACAUCAAAGAGGCAC
rnacentral:lncRNA from 1 species